UACGUAGGGUGCAAGCGUUAAUCGGAAUUACUGGGCGUAAAGCGUGCGCAGGCGGUUAUGUAAGACAGAUGUGAAAAUGCCCGGGCUUAACCUGGGAACUGCAUUUGUGACUGCAUGGCUAGAGUUGGCAGAGGGGGGGUAGAAUUCCAGGUGUAGCGGUGAAAUGCGUAGAUAUCUGGAGGAAUACCGGUGGCGAAGGCGGCAUCCUGGACCGGCAUUGACGCUGAGGAGCGAAAGCCAGGGGAGCAAACGGG
rnacentral:rRNA from 1 species